rnacentral:rRNA from 1 species
CAUUACCAAACUAGUCAUUCGCGUACGGGCUCCGGCUCCGAAACGAUGUAAGCUCACUAGUCACCCUUGAAUAAACACCUUUGUUGCUUUGGCGGGCCGCCGUUAGGCCAGCGGCUCCGGCUGCUGCGCGCCCGCCAGAGGACCCCAACUCUUGAUUUUAGUGAUGUCUGAGUACUAUAUAAUAGUUAAAACUUUCAACAACGGAUCUCUUGGUUCUGGCAUCGAUGAAGAACGCAGCGAAAUGCGAUAAGUAAUGUGAAUUGCAGAAUUCAGUGAAUCAUCGAAUCUUUGAACGCACAUUGCGCCCUCUGGUAUUCCGGGGGGCAUGCCUGUUCGAGCGUCAUUACAACCACUCACGCCUUCGCGUGGUAUUGGGGUUCGCGGUCUCGCGGCCCCUAAAGCCAGUGGCGGUGCCUGUCGGCUCUACGCGUAGUAAUACUCCUCGCGAUUGAGUCCGGUGGGUGACCAGCCAGCAACCCCCAAAUUUUUUCAGGUUGACCUCGGAUCAGGUAGGGAUACCCGCUGAACUUAAGCAUAUCAAUAAGCGGAGGAAAAGAAACCAACAGGGAUUACCUCAGUAACGGCGAGUGAAGCGGUAACAGCUCAAAUUUGAAAGCUCGCUCUUUUAGGGUGCGCAUUGUAAUUUGUAGAAGAUGCUUCGGGUGUGGCCCCGGUCUAAGUUCCUUGGAACAGGACGUCAUAGAGGGUGAGAAUCCCGUAUGUGACUGGG